UACGUAGGGUGCGAGCGUUGUCCGGAAUUACUGGGCGUAAAGAGCUCGUAGGUGGUUUGUCGCGUUGUUCGUGAAAACUCACAGCUUAACUGUGGGCGUGCGGGCGAUACGGGCAGACUGGAGUACUGCAGGGGGAGACUGGAAUUCCUGGUGUAGCGGUGGAAUGCGCAGAUAUCAGGAGGAACACCGGUGGCGAAGGCGGGUCUCUGGGCAGUAACUGACGCUGAGGAGCGAAAAGCGUGGGGGAGCGAACAGG
rnacentral:rRNA from 1 species